rnacentral:rRNA from 1 species
UACGGGGGGAGCAAGCGUUGUUCGGAUUUACUGGGCGUAAAGGGCGCGUAGGCGGUCAGCACAAGUCAGUUGUGAAAUCUCCGAGCUUAACUCGGAAACUGCCGUUGAUACUAUCUGUCUUGAAUACCGUGGAGGUGAGCGGAAUAUGUCAUGUAGCGGUGAAAUGCUUAGAUAUGACAUAGAACACCAAUUGCGAAGGCAGCUCACUACACGAGCAUUGACUCUGAGGCACGAAAGCGUGGGGAUCAAACAGG